GAUGAACGCUGGCGGCGUGCCUAAUACAUGCAAGUCGAGCGAACAGAUAAGGAGCUUGCUCCUUUGACGUUAGCGGCGGACGGGUGAGUAACGCGUGGGUAACCUAUCUAUAAGACUGGAAUAACUCCGGGAAACCGGGGCUAAUGCCGGAUAACAUGUUGAACCGCAUGGUUCUACAGUGAAAGGCGGCUUUGCUGUCACUUAUAGAUGGACCCGCGCCGUAUUAGCUAGUUGGUGAGGUAACGGCUCACCAAGGCAACGAUACGUAGCCGACCUGAGAGGGUGAUCGGCCACACGGGAACGGAGACACGGUCCAGACUCCUACGGGAGGCAGCAGUAGGGAAUGUUACGCAAUGGGCGAAAGCCUGACGGAGCAACGCCGCGUGAGUGAUGAAGGUCUUCGGAGCGUAAAACCCUGUUAUUAGGGAAGAACAAAUGCGUAAGUAACUGUGCGCGUCGUGACGGUACCUAAUCAGAAAGCAACGGCUAACUACGUG
rnacentral:rRNA from 1 species